rnacentral:rRNA from 1 species
UACGUAGGGGGCUAGCGUUGUCCGGAUUUAUUGGGCGUAAAGAGCGUGUAGGCGGCCUGACAGGUCUGCUGUGAAAACUCGAGGCUCAACCUCGAGAUGUCGGCGGAAACCGUCUGGCUAGAGUCCGGAAGAGGAGAGUGGAAUUCCUGGUGUAGCGGUGAAAUGCGCAGAUAUCAGGAGGAACACCGGUGGCGAAGGCGGGUCUCUGGGGCAAUUCCUGACGUGAGGCGCGAAAAGCGUGGGGGAGCAAAACGGGG